AUAGUUACAAGACAGGACAGAUAACAGGAUUGUGAAGGCGGUUUUCCCAGGAAAGGUUAUCCAUUUCACUCUAGAUGUGCUGACCCUGAGAUUUCCCCCAAAGUGGGAAACUCAACUUCAUAAUUUGUGGUAAUGAGGACUGUGCUCACACUCUCCCAUG